rnacentral:tRNA from 1 species
GCGGGCGUAGCUCAGCUGGCAGAGCAUCUGCUUCCCAAGCAGAGGGCCGCGGGUUCGAGUCCCGUCGCCCGCUCCA